UCCUUGGUAUCUCAGUUGGUAAAGAAUCUGCCUGCAAUGCAGGAGACUUGGGUUAGAUUCCUGGGUCGGAGAG
rfam:TPA: Bos taurus chromosome 5, whole genome shotgun sequence.